rnacentral:lncRNA from 1 species
AUAUCCAAGUAACUAAUUGAUAAACCUAUUGUUGACCUUGACAUUUUUUUGAUAUCCUGUUUUCAUUCUUUAAUGCUAGCAUUCAUGAUUGUGUGUUUUUAUUACUUUCAAAAUUUCCGUUUGAUAUCCAAAAUGUAUACAAAAACUUUUUCCAUACAAGAGUCCGCUAACAUAUUUUGAAUUUCGUUGCAUUGUCUUGAAUUCAUAUUAUUUGUAGUUAAAAUCAUUUGAAAUUUCGUUUUAGAAAUACUACUAUCUAAACAUACUGAUUUUAUCUAUAAAGACGGACCUACAAAAACUUCCUGUUUAUUUUUAAAAAUAUCAAUUUGUAUAUGGACGAAAAUAUUAUGUAAGGUGUUGUGAUACUACAGUUUGCAAUUAAAGUUUUUUUGAUUAUCUUGUCAUUUAAAAAAAAAAUCUGAAUAAUUGUUAUUAGAUAUUUUAUUUACAGGAAAUUAAUCAAUAAAAGUAGAUUUAAAAGAAUGACCUAAGAAACUUCAUGCUAUCCAAAUAACAGAUAGCAAAUAAAUAUUCAAUAAAGUAUUUACAUAUAUUUAAGUUACUAACGAAAUAAAGUUUUAUUCAAAACUUCAUUUCGUUUCAACAAAAUAGGCCAGGGGGUAUGUACGUCAUUGAAGUACAUACAAAUGUUUAGAAUAUUUGAUAAUCUUGAAUUACACGGUCAUUCUUUUUUAAAUUCUCUUACGACGAAUUUUGUCAAAUGUCUCGACCUGGAUAAAGUCCAAAUACAUUCCUAUAACAUUAGAGGAUUAUUAUUCAAUCUGAAAGGGAUACUUUGAUGUCAUUUGUAGAGUUAUGAUGAAAGAUGAAUUAUGAAUUCCACAGUGAUAAUAUAUGAGGAAAAGCUAUUAAUAUCGUCAGUUGAGUGUAUUAUUUUAAGUUACAAGUCAAUAAAAUAAUAGUAUAUCGGAUGGAUGUGUUGAAAAUCUCUUUCAUUAUAAAUAUUUAUGUUUACUUUUAUUUAUAAAUUGAUUAUGUAUAUGCUUUUAAAUGCAGAAGUAUUAAUACAUUAUGCAAAAUGCUAAUAUUAUUAUUUUUAUUGUUUACGAGAGUGUAAUGCGAAAUAUAUCAAAAGAAAAAAUCAUAUUUACAAAGAUUUUAUAUACAAAAAGUAUUGGAAAUAAGCUAACACCAAAAGAUUGGCAAAACUCCAUGUCAAAGAAGGAGAAAGGGGUAAAAGUCAAAAAGAAAUAUAUUUAGACAUAUACUCUUUUCUAAUUUUUGCGCACUUUGACCUAGAUGCUUGAUGAAAGCAAUGAAGGAUAAUCAAUAUACACGGAGUGUAUUAAGACGCUUAAUAACAAGGAAAUAAAUCAUUUU